UUCUUAGUAAUCUGUUCUUGCAAAGCACACAAUUACUUUAAUGGUGAUAAAGUAUUCAAUAGACAGAAACUAGAAAGUGUACUUCAAAAAUACAUGAAACCAAUUAAAAAACUAUCAGAACAGUUUCCAAAUCGCGAGAUCGAACUGCAAUUUGAAAUAGAUGGCAACAAAGGUCAGAUUGUAGCGUCGCCUAAGACAAAAUAUGUUCGAGUACCUGCUGCUU